CCUGCCGUUGCCGGCGACCGGCGCACGGGUGAGUAACACGUAUGCAACCUGCCCGUGGCAGGGGGAUAAGCGGGGGAAACCCCGUCUAAUACCGCGUAACGCGGCCUAGGGACAUCCCAAGGCCGCCAAAGGGAGCAAUCCCGGCCACGGAUGGGCAUGCGGCGCAUUAGCUAGUCGGCGGGGUAACGGCCCACCGAGGCGACGACGCGUAGGGGUUCUGAGAGGAAGGCCCCCCACACUGGUACUGAGACACGGACCAGACUCCUACGGGAGGCAGCAG
rnacentral:rRNA from 1 species